CCUACGGGAGGCUGCAGCUAAGAAUCUUCCGCAAUGGGCGCAAGCCUGACGGAGCGACGCCGCGUGAAUGAAGAAGGCCGAAAGGUUGUAAAAUUCUUUUAAGUUUGAAGAAUAACCAGUAUAGGGAAUGAUACUGAGAUGACGGUAAAACUUGAAUAAGCCCCGGCUAAUUACGUGCCAGCAGCCGCGGUAACACGUAAGGGGCGAGCGUUGUUCGGAAUUAUUGGGCGUAAAGGGUAUGCAGGCGGUUAGAUAAGCCCGGUGUGAAAUGCUCAAGCUUAACUUGAGAACUGCACUAGGUACUGUCUAACUUGAAUCACGAAGGGGAAACUGGAAUUCCAGGUGUAGGGGUGGAAUCUGUAGAUAUCUGGAAGAAUACCGGUGGCGAAGGCGGGUUUCUGGUCGAUGAUUGACGCUGAGAUACGAAAGUGUGGGGAGCA
rnacentral:rRNA from 1 species